CCUACGGGAGGCAGCAGUGGGGAAUUUUGGACAAUGGGGGCAACCCUGAUCCAGCCAUUCCGCGUGAGUGAAGAAGGCCUUCGGGUUGUAAAGCUCUUUCGCAAGGGAAGAAACGUUACGAGCGAAUAACUCGUGAUAAUGACGGUACCUUGAUAAGAAGCACCGGCUAACUACGUGCCAGCAGCCGCGGUAAUACGUAGGGUGCAAGCGUUAAUCGGAAUUACUGGGCGUAAAGCGUGCGCAGGCGGUUUUGUAAGUCAGAUGUGAAAUCCCCGAGCUCAACUUGGGAACUGCGUUUGAAACUACAAGGCUAGAAUAUGUCAGAGGGGGUAGAAUUCCACGUGUAGCAGUGAAAUGCGUAGAGAUGUGGAGGAAUACCAAUGGCGAAGGCAGCCCCCUGGGAUAAUAUUGACGCUCAUGCACGAAAGCGUGGGGAGCAAACAGGAUUAGAUACCCUGGUAGUCCACGCCCUAAACGAUGUCUACUAGUUGUUGGUGGAGUAAAAUCCAUGAGUAACGCAGCUAACGCGUGAAGUAGACCGCCUGGGGAGUACGGUCGCAAGAUUAAAACUCAAAGGAAUUGACGG
rnacentral:rRNA from 1 species